rnacentral:lncRNA from 1 species
CAGCAGCGACUUCAUCCACCCCGGACCGCCGGCUGGAGGACGUGCCUGCAGCCGGCGGGUACCUGCGGCCAAUUCGGUGGAACGAGGACGCGGACUGCGAAGGCAGCGCGCUGGCCCCUCCCUUGCUCCUCUCCCUAGCAGUCUCCAGGGUUUUACCGGGAGGACCUAGGCAACGGCCUGAGACUCCGAUAAAGAUUGGAAUGAUCUCGUUCUUGAAACCUAGGGACUCUAUGUUGAAGAUGCCUGGACUAACCUACUGAAGAUACGUGGUUUUACCAACAGCCAGCACCAAUAGGAAGAUAUGAAUGAAGCCAUCUGAGACCAGCCAUCUGGCAGCCAAACUGCCAACUGACUGCAAAUGCAUGAAUGAUCCCACUGACACCACGUAGAGCACAAAUGAGUUGCCUCCACUGAGCCCAGCCCAAAUUGUUA